rnacentral:rRNA from 1 species
GACGAACGCUGGCGGCGUGCUUAACACAUGCAAGUCGAACGGAAAGGCCCUGCUUUUGUGGGGUGCUCGAGUGGCGAACGGGUGAGUAACACGUGAGUAACCUGCCCUUGACUUUGGGAUAACUUCAGGAAACUGGGGCUAAUACCGGAUAGGAGCUCCUGCUGCGUGGUGGGGGUUGGAAAGUUUCGGCGGUUGGGGAUGGACUCGCGGCUUAUCAGCUUGUUGGUGGGGUAGUGGCUUACCAAGGCUUUGACGGGUAGCCGGCCUGAGAGGGUGACCGGCCACAUUGGGACUGAGAUACGGCCCAGACUCCUACGGGAGGCAGCAGUGGGGAAUAUUGCACAAUGGGCGGAAGCCUGAUGCAGCAACGCCGCGUGCGGGAUGACGGCCUUCGGGUUGUAAACCGCUUUCGCCUGUGACGAAGCGUGAGUGACGGUAAUGGGUAAAGAAGCGCCGGCUAACUACGUG